rnacentral:snoRNA from 9 species
GCCAUUGAUGACUGUUUGUUUUUCAACUGAAACUAAAUGUUGAAAUUAUUAUACGAACUAGGACGGUCUGAGGC